UUUGCACCUAUAUGCCAACGACUAUGAUUUUCCUUUUCCCCCGAUGGAGAUCUCGCCGUCGCCAAUGAGAGCAGUCGCCAUCUGACAUUUGCAGGGAUGGCUUGAACAAUUUCUGGAGGUUACAUUUGCAGAGAUGGCGACUCUCACUCUCUCUCCACGGCAACUCUCUCUUUCUUCUCACUUCUGCUGUCUCUCCCUCUCUCUCGCUCUUGUUGCCUCUGAUCAGCCAUGAUGACUCUCCACGACAACUCUCUCUCUCUUCUCCAGCUCUCUCUCCCUCUCCCUAUGUCUCUCCUGUCUCUCCCUCUCGCUCCGCAGCAACUCUCUCUCUGCUACCCCUCGCUCCACCGAAUUCUCUCUCUCUUCUCAAUCUAUCUUGCACUCUCUAAUCUCCCUCUUUGCUGCUGCAAACCUCUAUCAGAGAUUGGCCAACCCAAACUAUCUCGCCCCUCAAUCAACCUCCCUCUUUGCUGCCGCAUUGCUGUCACCAAAAGCAUUUCGCCUCUCACUCAAUCUCCCUCUUUCUGCCCCAUUGCUGCUGCCUUCUCUCUCUCUCUCUCUCUAUCUCUUUUUGUUGCCUUGUUGUUGCCAUUGCUGCUGAUCCCUUGCUUGAUUGGGGCAAUCUUUGGGAUUUGAGGUUUAUCCAAGGUUCAGGUGUUGAAAACCAUUCAGUUAGAGGUUCUCAAGGGAUGCAAGCUGGUGUCCAGUCGAAUUUUCCCAACCAAUAGCAGAACAACUAGGAGCAUCAUGCUCCAAAGAGCUCAAUGAAGCAGUCACUCAUGUGGUUUUGCUCGAUUUAGGGACUGAGAAGGCUCAUUGGGCUAUACAGCGAAAGAAUGGAGGAGGAUCCUAAGUCAUGUUUUUUUCUUUAGUAUUUUUUUUGGGAUGAAACAUGAUUGAUCCAUGUAACACAAUCUCUUUAUAAAAUGAUUGUGCUUUAUCUAGGGGUAAUGUAGGAAUUUUGAAGAGAUAUAGUUUAUGUGGGUAUGUGUAACCCUUUUGGGUUUUCUUGGGUUUCCUGAGUUUUGUUUGCUCGGUGGAUGUGGUGCUUUGAGAUGAUGGGAAUGUGUAAGCUUGAAGGGAGUAAUGAAAACAAAAGUGGGGAUGUUUGAUUAAA